rnacentral:rRNA from 1 species
UACGUAGGGGGCAAGCGUUGUCCGGAUUUAUUGGGCGUAAAGAGCGUGUAGGCGGCCAGGUAGGUCCGCUGUGAAAACUCGAGGCUCAACCUCGAGCUGUCGGCGGAAACCAUCUGGCUAGAGUCCGGAAGAGGAGAGUGGAAUUCCCGGUGUAGCGGUGAAAUGCGCAGAUAUCGGGAAGAACACCCGUGGCGAAGGCGGCUCUCUGGGACGGUACUGACGCUGAGACGCGAAAGCGUGGGGAGCGAACAGG